UACGUAGGGUGCAAGCGUUAAUCGGAAUUACUGGGCGUAAAGCGUGCGCAGGCGGUUCGCUAAGACAGAUGUGAAAUCCCCGGCUUAACCUGGGAACUGCAUUUGUGACUGGCGGCUAGAGUAUGGCAGAGGGGGUAGAAUUCCACGUGUAGCAGUGAAAUGCGUAGAGAUGUGGAGGAAUACCGAUGGCGAAGGCAGCCCCUGGCCAAUACUGACGCUCAUGCACGAAGCGUGGGAG
rnacentral:rRNA from 1 species